UUAAACUGAAGAGUUUGAUCAUGGCUCAGAUUGAACGCUGGCGGCAGGCCUAACACAUGCAAGUCGAGCGGUAACAGAGAGUAGCUUGC
rnacentral:rRNA from 1 species